GAUGAACGCUGACAGAAUGCUUAACACAUGCAAGUCUUUGGCGAAGCUGUGCUUGCACAGCCUAGCCAAGGCGGACGGGUGAGUAACGCGUAAGGAACUUGCCCUGCAGUCAGGGAUAACAGACGGAAACGACUGAUAAGACCUGGUAAAGUCAGGCGGACUCAUGUCCAGCCUGAUGAAAAGAGAUGCUGCAGGAGAGCCUUGCGUCCUAUUAGCUUGUUGGUGGGGUAACGGCCCACCAAGGCGAUGAUAGGUAGCCGGCCUGAGGGGGUGGACGGCCACCAGGGGACUGAGAUACGGCCCUUACUCCUACGGGAGGCAGCAGUGGGGAAUAUUGGACAAUGGGGGCAACCCUGAUCCAGCAAUUCUGUGUGCACGAUGAAGGUUUUCGGAUUGUAAAGUGCUUUCAGCAGGGAAGAAAAAAAUGACGGUACCUGCAGAAGAAGCGACGGCUAAAUACGUG
rnacentral:rRNA from 1 species